UACGGGGGGGGUAAGCGUUGUUCGGAAUUACUGGGCGUACAGGGAGCGUAGGCGGUUGGAUAAGCCCUCCGUGAAAUCUCCAGGCUUAACCUGGAAAGUGCAGAGGGGACUGUUCAGCUAGAGGAUGGGAGAGGAGCGCGGAAUUCCCGGUGUAGCGGUGAAAUGCGUAGAUAUCGUAAGGAACACCUGUGGCGAAAGCGGCUCACUGGACCAUAACUGACGCUGAGGCGCGAAAGCGUGGGGAGCAAACAGG
rnacentral:rRNA from 1 species